AGCAGCCGCGGUAAUUCCAGCUCCAAUAGCGUAUAUUAAAGUUGUUGCAGUUAAAAAGCUCGUAGUUGAAUUUCGGGAUCAAAUUGUCGGUCGUGCCUCGGUACGCACUGGUAUUAUUGGUUCCUACCUUCUGAAGAACCGCGAUGUCAUUAAUUUGGUGUCGUGGGGAAUCAGGACUGUUACUUUGAAAAAAUUAGAGUGUUUAAAGCAGGCUUACGCUUGAAUACAUUAGCAUGGAAUAAUGAAAUAGGACGUUUGAUUCUAUUUUGUUGGUUUCUAGGAUUGACGUAAUGAUUAAUAGGGAUAGUUGGGGGGCAUUAGUAUUCAAUUGUCAGAGGUGAAAUUCUUGGAUUUAUUGAAGACUAACUACUGCGAAAGCAUUUGCCAAGGAUGUUUUCAUUAAUCAAGAACGAAAGUUAGGGGAUCGAAGACGAUCAGAUACCGUCGUAGUCUUAACCAUAAACUAUGCCGACUAGGGAUCGGAUGAUGUUAAUUUUUUAAUGACUCAUUCGGCGCCUUA
rnacentral:rRNA from 1 species